UACAGAGGUCUCAAGCGUUGUUCGGAUUCAUUGGGCGUAAAGGGUGUGUAGGUGGCGCGCUAAGUCGGGUGUGAAAUUUCGGAGCUUAACUCCGAAGCUGCAUUCGAUACUGGCGUGCUUGAGGACUGGAGAGGAGACUGGAAUUCAUGGUGUAGCAGUGAAAUGCGUAGAGAUCAUGAGGAAGACCAGUGGCGAAGGCGGGUCUCUGGACAGUACCUGACACUGAGACACGAAGGCCAGGGGAGCAAACGGG
rnacentral:rRNA from 1 species